ACUUAAAUAGCUUAUAUUUAGAGUAUGAUAUUGAAGAUAUCAGGGAAGUUUUAAACUUUUAAGUA
rnacentral:tRNA from 1 species